rnacentral:rRNA from 1 species
GGACAAGCGUUAUCCGGAUUCACUGGGCGUAAAGAGCGUUGAGGCGGUUCCGUAAGUUGGGCGUGAAAGCUCCGGGCUUAACUCGGAGAUGUCGUUCAAUACUGCGGGGCUUGAGGACAGCAGAGGAAGGUGGAAUUCCCGGUGUAGUGGUGAAAUGCGUAGAUAUCGGGAGGAACACCCGUGGCGAAGGCGGCCUUCUGGGCUGUUCCUGACGCUGAAGGCGAAAGCUAGGGGAGCGAACGGGAUUAGAUACCCCGGUAGUCCUAGCUGUAAACGAUGGAUGCUGGGUGUGGGGGGUGUAAAUUCCCUCUGUGCCGAAGCAAACGCGUUAAGCAUCCCGCCUGGGGACUACGGCCGCAAGGCUAAAACUCAAACGAAUUGACGGGGGCCCGCACAAGCAGCGGAGCGUGUGGUUUAAUUCGAUGCUACACGAAGAACCUUACCUGGGUUUGACAUGCACGUGGUAGGGAACCGAAAGGGGACCGACCUUCGGGAGCGUGCACAGGUGCUGCAUGGCUGUCGUCAGCUCGUGCCGUGAGGUGUCGGGUUAAGUCCCGUAACGAGCGCAACCCUUGCCCUUAGUUACAAGUGUCUAAGGGGACUGCCCGGGACAACUGGGAGGAAGGUGGGGAUGACGUCAAGUCAGCAUGGCCUUUAUAUCCAGGGCUACACACACGCUACAAUGGCCGGUACAAUAGGUUGCGAAGUCGUGAGGCGGAGCCAAUCCUCAAAACCGGUCUCAGUUCGAAUUGCAGUCUGCAACUCGACUGCAUGAAGCUGGAGUUGCUAGUAAUCGCAGGUCAGCUAUACUGCGGUGAAUACGUUUCCCGGGC